GACUGGUCUGAAAGCUGUGAGUUAUCUCGGUUGAUCAUUCACAGUCAGAUCUUUUCCCCUUCUUACUACUGCACUUAACUUGUCUUUA
rnacentral:Y_RNA from 1 species